rnacentral:tRNA from 1 species
CCCCUGGAGGACUAGUGGUUAGGCCUCUGCGCUCUCACUGAUGUCAUCUGGGUUAGAUUCCCAGCCAGGGUA